UACGUAGGGGGGCAAGCGUUGUCCGGAUUUAUUGGGCGUAAAGAGCGUGUAGGCGGUUUGGUAGGUCCGCUGUGAAAACUCGAGGCUCAACCUCGAGACGCCGGUGGAAACCAUCAGGCUAGAGUCCGGAAGAGGAGAGUGGAAUUCCUGGUGUAGCGGUGAAAUGCGCAGAUAUCAGGAAGAACACCCGUGGCUAAGGCGGCUCUCUAGUACGGUACUGACGCUGAGACGCGAAAGCGUGGGGAGCAAACAGG
rnacentral:rRNA from 1 species